CAGUCGCCGCGGUAAUACGAAGGGUGCAAGCGUUACUCGGAAUUACUGGGCGUAAAGCGUGCGUAGGUGGUGGUUUAAGUCCGUUGUGAAAGCCCUGGGCUCAACCUGGGAAUUGCAGUGGAUACUGGGUCACUAGAGUGUGGUAGAGGAUAGUGGAAUUUCCGGUGUAGCAGUGAAAUGCGUAGAGAUCGGAAGGAACAUCUGUGGCGAAGGCGGCCAUCUGGGACAACACUGACGCUGAAGCACGAAAGCGUGGGGAGCAAACAGGAUUAGAUACCCCGGUAGUCCCUGUCUCUUAUAC
rnacentral:rRNA from 1 species